GAGGGUAUAUCUCAGUGAUAGAGUGCAUGCUUAGCAUGCACAAAAUCCUGGGUUCAAUCCCCAGUACCUCCA
rnacentral:tRNA from 1 species